AAAAUGCGAUAAGUAGUGUGAAUUAUAGAAUUUAGUAAAUUAUCGAAUCUUUAAACGCACAUUACGCCCCUUAGUAUUCUAUAGGGCAUGCCUGUUUAAGCGUUAUUUGUACUCUUAAGCUUUGCUUAGUAUUAGGUGCUUUGUCUAUCCCUUUGCGUUUAGACUUACCUUAAAAUAAUUAGUAGCUAGUGUAUUAGUAUAGAAGCGUAGUAUAAUUUGUGCCUCUAGCUAGUUAUUACUAGCGUCUACAAGCCUAUUUUAACAUGCUUAACCUUAGAUUAGGUAGGGAUACCUACUAAACUUAAGC
rnacentral:misc_RNA from 1 species